UACGGAGGAUGCGAGCGUUAUCCGGAUUUAUUGGGUUUAAAGGGUGCGUAGGCGGGCUGUUAAGUCAGCGGUAAAAUUUGGAGGCUCAACCCCGGCGAGCCGUUGAAACUGGCUGUCUUGAGAUGUCGAGAGGUAUGCGGAAUGCGCAGUGUAGCGGUGAAAUGCUUAGAUAUUGCGCAGAACCCCGAUUGCGAAGGCAGCCUGCCGGCCCCACACUGACGCUGAGGCACGAAAGCGUGGGUAUCGAACAGG
rnacentral:rRNA from 1 species